UGCGCAGGCUGAGCAGUCGCGGAGGUGAAGCCUUCGAGGAAAGUCCGGACAUCACAGGGCAGGGUGGUCGGUAACGCCGACCCGGGGAAACCCGCGGGAAAGUGCCACAGAAACGACACCGCCUAAGCUUGGAGCCGCUGCAGAGCUCCAAGCCGGUAAGGGUGAAAUGGUGCGGUAAGAGCGCACCAGCGUCGCGGUGACGCGGCGGCUGAGGUAAACCCCACCCGAUGCUAGGCCAAGCAGGACCGCUUGUAGGUGGCCCGCCAAGGUCCGGGUAGGCCGCGUAGAUGGAUGAUUGCUCGCGACAAGAUCCGGCUUAUAGGCCUGCUACGGA
rnacentral:RNase_P_RNA from 1 species